CAGCAGUCUGCGUGGCCGGCGUGUCUUCUUCUCUUCACUAGGUUAAGGACCAGUAACGUUGUUGAGCUGCCGUGUAUGAUAGCCGCAGCGUGUCUUGCUCGUAGUUUUUCUACCGCUGGACUGCUCUCUGAAACCGCAGGUUAUGCCACCCGAAAGACUUCCUGGAUCCCCAGCCGUGAAAGAGAAGGGCUGAUCCCCGUCCUCCCCCAGGUUCCUGUGGCUUUGCACCCCAACUUUCCCUCCUUCCCUCUCCUGCUUAUUCCCUUCUCCCAACAGCACUAACCCCCACCCGACUCCUACACCCACACCCGACCGGUCAUCCUUUACCUCACGCACUGUUGGUCCAGUCACGUCCCUCUCCGCAGCGUCUCCAUACCCAGGCUCUCUGUUGAGUCUUACCCCAGCCACGCUAGCCGUCUCUUCUGCAGCCCCCUGCCCUCAUCAUAGAGCCAAUCUCCCCCCCACUGGCUGAACGCCAGGCCCCAUGGCUACAGGAGGUCAUGCCCCAGAGGUAGAUGUGUUGAUCAACCUACAACAGGUGAAGGUGGAGGAGGAAGAUGAGGAAGGGUCCGUGGAGGAACUGGAGGAAGAGGAGGAGGAGGAGAACUGGGAGAAAGCCCUGUCUGUGGAGCGCUUUGGAGACAUCAUCAGUGACUCUGCUUCUACCAGUGGAGACAGGAUGGGUCGUCACUACACUGAGAAAGACUUUGAAUGUAAGCCAAGCUACCAUGUAUUUUGUACAAGUAUCAUAUAGACAUUGUACCUACAA
rnacentral:lncRNA from 1 species